GACAGAGGGGGCAAGCGUUGCUCGGAAUCACUGGGCGUAAAGGGCGCGUAGGCGGGAUGGCAAGUCGGUCGUGAAAUCUUUCGGCUCAACCGAAGAACGUCGGCCGAUACUGCCGUUCUUGAGGGAUGCAGAGGAGAUUGGAAUUCCCGGUGUAGCGGUGAAAUGUGUAGAGAUCGGGAGGAACACCGGUGGCGAAGGCGGGUCUCUGGGCAUCUCCUGACGCUGAGGCGCGAAAGCGUGGGGAGCAAACGGG
rnacentral:rRNA from 1 species